rnacentral:rRNA from 1 species
AGGGAAUCUUCCGCAAUGGACGAAAGUCUGACGGAGCAACGCCGCGUGAGUGAAGAAGGCCUUCGGGUCGUAAAACUCUGUUGUCGGGGAAGAACAAGUGCCGUUCGAACAGGGCGGCGCCUUGACGGUACCCGGCCAGAAAGCCCCGGCUAACUACGUGCCAGCAGCCGCGGUAAUACGUAGGGGGCGAGCGUUGUCCGGAAUUAUUGGGCGUAAAGCGCGCGCAGGCGGCUUCUUAAGUCUGAUGUGAAAUCUUGCGGCUCAACCGCAAGCGGUCAUUGGAAACUGGGAGGCUUGAGUGCAGAAGAGGAGAGUGGAAUUCCACGUGUAGCGGUGAAAUGCGUAGAGAUGUGGAGGAACACCAGUGGCGAAGGCGACUCUCUGGUCUGUAACUGACGCUGAGGCGCGAAAGCGUGGGGAGCAAAC